rnacentral:rRNA from 1 species
CAGUAGCCGCGGUAAAACCAGCAGCCCAAGUGGUGGUCGCGAUUAUUGGGCCUAAAGCGCUCGUAGCCGGGCCGGUAAGUCCCUUGUGAAAUCGGACGGCCUAACCGUUCGGCGUGCAAGGGAUACUGUCGGUCUUGAGGCCGGGAGACGUCCGAGGUACUCCGGGGGUAGCGGUGAAAUGUUCUGAUCCUCGGGGGACCACCGGUGGCGAAGGCGUUCGACGAGAACGGGCCUGACGGUGAGGGGCGAAGGCUAGGGGAGCAAACGGGAUUAGAGACCCCCGUAGUCCCUGUCUCUUAAC